UACGUAGGCAGCGAGCGUUGUUCGGAGUUACUGGGCGUAAAGAGUGCGUAGGCGGUUUUCUAAGUUUGGUGUGAAAUCUCCCGGCUUAACUGGGAGGGUGCGCCGAAAACUGGAAGGCUUGAGUAUGGGAGAGGUAAGCGGAACUCCUGGUGUAGCGGUGAAAUGCGUAGAUAUCAGGAGGAACACCUGCGGUGUAGACGGCUUACUGGACCAUAACUGACGCUGAGGCACGAAAGCGUGGGUAGCAAACAGG
rnacentral:rRNA from 1 species